GGUGGCCCAGACUUUGCAUUUUUUAUCUUGGCUGUGGGCACAGACAUUUAUAUCCCUACAUUGUUUUCAAUGAUUUUUUUUAAGUCCUGAAGACAGAGGCAUUUGUUUCAGUCAGUCUCACCCUUUCAGAACAGACCAUUGAAGAACUCAGGAGCAAACUCACACGGUAAAUGAUAAAUUUCUUCUUGAAUUGAAAUGGAAACAAAGGCCCACUUUUAGCCAAUCAAAGUUGAAUAUUUUUGCUUAUGUUACUUGGGAAAGAUCACCACCAUAAUAUGAAGCAUCAUUACUGAAUCUAAAUGAUGCCCAAUUAGGAUGGAGCCAUGAAAGGAUCAAAUAAGAACAUGUACUCAGACCAGCCCCCUCUGAAGGAAAGGCAGGCAAGACUGAAAUUCCACGUGGGCACCAGAGUCUCAUUUCACUCCUGCACAUGGUGCCUUCUUCCAGAGAGCUGUCAGUUCAUUUGCUUGAGGAGCUGGAGGAUCUUCAUCCUUCUCCCCGUACUCUGUGCACUUGGAAGCUGAAGCUGACUUCUAUGGAAUCGCUGCAUCCUUCUCCUGCACCCUGGCUUCCUCUUGGGUUUGGUCAAUUGGAGGCACCAGCAGAGCGCAGAGUGACAGAGGUCAAGAGCCACCCGUCACCCCAGGAAGAGAAGGUACAUGGACACCCUCAUUGUCUCUAAACAGCAGAAGUUACUGCCUGGCAGGAGGAAACCAUCAGGUGUCUCCUGGGCCCAUAACAGAAUCUGCCUGCUCUUCCUGAGCAGAAUUCAAGAUUCACUGUGCUCCUGGGCUGUAGCCACUAAGUGGGGAAGCUGAGGCAUUUCUACUCCUCAGAUCAGAGAGUGACCACCGAAGUUGCGAAGUUCCAGCAUGAACUUGAUUGUCUAUUGAUACUGGGACGUGACUGUAGUAAUCUGAGCCCAAUUUCUGCAAGGAUGCUCUUCUGACCUGAGUGCAUUUUCUGAAGACCACAUGUCAGAAAUGAGGCAAUGUGCUGGAGUGGUCAUGAGCAAAGCACAAAAUCCAUGAAUUCAUAGAAUGUAGGAUACAGUCAAAUGAAACGGCAGUUUCAAAAGCACAUAAAACAGAGAGAAGGCCUCAUUGUGGACACCGCUGAUGCUUUCAGAGUUUCAGCCGAUGUACCCGAUGACUGGAUUGGAAGAAUUGGAAAGAAUAACAGCACCCAUAUUUAUAUUGUUCUUCAUCAUUAAAUUCUGAGUGACAUAUCCUACCAUUUUAGCUCACAUGAUUAUUUUAUAUUUUUCAUGGAUAUAUGGGAGAAACUCAGGCACAAAUAGAGAAAUUCAGUCACAGAGAAGCUGCAUACCUUUAAAAAAAUCCCUCAGCCCAGUUUAAACCUGACCCCAUACCUCUUUGUGUUUGGACCUGCCAGGAGAGAAAAAUUCUUAGAAAUAUAUACUAACUCAGAAAAAAAAUACUGAAUACUUCCUUUGUACAAACUAUUGUGUUGGGCUUCCCUGGUGACACAGUGGUUGAGAAUGUGCCUGCCAAUGCAGGGGACACGGGUUCGAGCCCUGGUCUGGGAAGAUCCCACAUGCCGCGGAGCAACUAGGCCCGUGAGCCACAACUACUGAGCCUGCGCGUCUGGAGCCUGUGCUCCGCAACAAGAGAGGCCACGAUAGUGAGAGGCCCAUGCACCGCGAUGAAGAGUGGCCCCUGCUUGCCGCAACUAGAGAAAGCCCUUGCACAGAAACGAAGACCCAACACAGUCAAAAAUAAAUAAAUAAAUAAAUAAAUAAAUAAUAAAAUUUUAAAAUAUAUAUAUAUAAAAAAAACUAUUGUGCUAACUACUUUAUAU